rnacentral:lncRNA from 1 species
GCAGCUUGAUUUUCCUCUUUCCUCCAGUCACAGUAAGCCAAGUCAAUCUCAAGGAGCAGUAGCAGAAUGGCAGCCCUACACCAUGCAGUAAUACCAACGUUUAGCUUACAGAGGAAUGAGUGAUCUGAACUGCUCCAUCAAUACCAAUGCUGAUGCAAGUGGAUCUGAACCAGGAACAGAUCACGUGCAGAAGGCUUCUGAGAAGUGUCUUUGUGUCCCAGCCCUGAGCUCAAAGCAGAGAUCACCUCACAGCUUGCUUUAGUCAGGGCUGAUGAAGGAGAAAUGCUGCUGAAUUUGCCUGGACACUCAAAGCCAGGGUAGGUUUUGAUUCUCAAUUGGUCAGGUCCAAAGUUUUCUGUAGCUUUUCUUGUCUAGAAUAGGAAUAUCUAGACCAGGAUGCUUCCGACCACCCUUCCAAGGCUCUCUGGUUUCAUUAAUUGG